GGAGCGAUAAGGUGUUGGAGCACCUCCUUGUGUCAGCUUCAGCGCUCGCUUAGCCAAGGCGGCAACUCCCGGCGACGCCGUGGGUGGUCGGCUCUGGUGGCAUGCGAUGGCGGGCGUCGGCGAUCUGGGCAGGCGAAAGGUCGAGGCGCGGGGUGGCUCGCAGCGUCGAGCAUGUGGCACACUUGAACAACGGGGACGCCGGGACUCCAGCACCUGAACGACGUGAGGCCGCGAGCUCGUGGUCGAGAGCAAUCGCAUUGGCCCAAGAUGACGGCAACGUCGACGAUGUGCAGCCGCGACCUGAGUUUAGCCUACCGCGCGGAGGUACGCCGCCUUCCUUCCUCUCCUCCGUCAUGGCCUUUGAUCGUGGUGGGGGCGACGGGAGAGAAUUUUGGAGCUUGUUGGUGGGACUACGCCGCCUUCCUUUCCUCUCCUCCGUCAUGGCCUCUGCUUGUGGUGGGUGCGACGGGAGAGAAUUUUGAAGCUUGGUGGUGGGACGAGGAGGC
rnacentral:lncRNA from 1 species